GGCCGGUACGUUUACUUUGAACAAAUUAGAGUGCUUAAAGCAGGCUAAAUUUUGCCUGAAUAUUGUGUGCAUGGAAUAAUGGAAUAGGACCUCGUUUCUAUUUUGUUGGUUUUCGGAAUUCCGAGGUAAUGAUAAAUAGGGACAACUGGGGGCAUUCGUAUUGCGACGUUAGAGGUGAAAUUCUUGGAUCGUCGCAAGACGGACAGAAGCGAAAGCAUUUGCCAAAUGUGUUUUCAUUAAUCAAGAACGAAAGUUAGAGGUUCGAAGGCGAUCAGAUACCGCCCUAGUUCUAACCAUAAACGAUGCCAGCUAGCGAUCCGCCAAAGUUCCUCAGAUGACUUGGCGGGCAGCUUCCGGGAAACCAAAGCUUUUGGGUUCCGGGGGAAGUAUGGUUGCAAAGCUGAAACUUAAAGGAAUUGACGGAAGGGCACCACCAGGAGUGGAGCCUGCGGCUUAAUUUGACUCAACACGGGAAACCUCACCAGGCCCGGACACUGGAAGGAUUGACAGAUUGAGAGCUCUUUCUUGAUUCAGUGGGUGGUGGUGCAUG
rnacentral:rRNA from 1 species